GCCAGGUGUGGUGGUGUGUGCCUGUGGUCCCAGCUACUCAGGAGGCUGAGGCUGGAGGAUUGCUUAAGCCUGGGAGCUCAAGGCUGCAGUGAGCUAUGAUCACACACCACUGCACUCUUGCCUGGGCAACACAGCGAAACCCCGUCUCAU
rnacentral:sRNA from 1 species